rnacentral:rRNA from 1 species
GAUGAACGCUGGCGGCGUGCUUAAUACAUGCAAGUCAAACGAAGUGCCUCUCCCGAAGAUAGACCCAGCUUGCUGGGGAUUGAUUCACCUGAGGUGACUGAGUGGCGGACGGGUGAGUAACGCGUGGGUAACCUGCCUUAUACAGGGGGAUAACAGUUGGAAACGACUGCUAAUACCGCAUAAGCGCACAGUACCGCAUGGUACAGUGUGAAAAACUCCGGUGGUAUAAGAUGGACCCGCGUCUGAUUAGCUAGUUGGUGAGGUAACGGCUUACCAAGGCAACGAUCAGUAGCCGACUUGAGAGAGUAAUCGGCCACAUUGGGACUGAGACACGGCCCAAACUCCUACGGGAGGCAGCAGUAGGGAAUAUUGCACAAUGGGGGAAACCCUGAUGCAGCGACGCCGCGUGAAGGAUGAAGUAUUUCGGUAUGUAAACUUCUAUCAGCAAGGAAGAAAAUGACGGUACUUGACUAAGAAGCCCCGGCUAAAUACGUGCCAGCCGCCGCGGUAA